CAUGCCAGGAACUUGCCAGAGAUGGCUUGGUGCUCGAAAGAGAGCCUGGACACAGGUGCUGCAUGGCCGUCGUCAGCUCGUGUCGUGAGAUGUUGGGUUAAGUCCCGCAACGAGCGCAACCCUUGUCAUUAGUUGCUACGAAAGGGCACUCUAAUGAGACUGCCGGUGACAAACCGGAGGAAGGUGGGGAUGACGUCAGGUCCUCAUGGCCCUUAUGGGUAGGGCUACACACGUCAUACAAUGGCCGGUACAGAGGGCUGCCAACCCGCGAGGGGGAGCCAAUCCCAGAAAACCGGUCGUAGUCCGGAUCGUAGUCUGCAACUCGACUGCGUGAAGUCGGAAUCGCUAGUAAUCGCGGAUCAGCUUGCCGCGGUGAAUACGUUCCCGGGUCUUGUACACACCGCCCGUCACACCAUGGGAGCGG
rnacentral:rRNA from 1 species